GACGAAGGGGGCUAGCGUUGUUCGGAAUUACUGGGCGUAAAGCGCGUGUAGGCGGUUCGUAAAGUCGGAUGUGAAAGCCCUGGGCUUAACCCAGGAAGUGCAUUCGAAACUCACGAACUUGAGUCCCGGAGAGGAAGGCGGAAUUCUCGGUGUAGAGGUGAAAUUCGUAGAUAUCGAGAGGAACAUCUGUGGCGAAGGCGGCCUUCUGGACGGUGACUGACGCUGAGACGCGAAAGCGUGGGGAGCAAACAGG
rnacentral:rRNA from 1 species